rnacentral:rRNA from 1 species
GACGAACGCUGGCGGCGUGCUUAACACAUGCAAGUCGAACGGAAAGGCCCUGCUUUUGUGGGGUGCUCGAGUGGCGAACGGGUGAGUAACACGUGAGUAACCUGCCCUUGACUUUGGGAUAACUUCAGGAAACUGGGGCUAAUACCGGAUAGGAGCUCCUGCUGCAUGGUGGGGGUUGGAAAGUUUCGGCGGUUGGGGAUGGACUCGCGGCUUAUCAGCUUGUUGGUGGGGUAGUGGCUUACCAAGGCUUUGACGGGUAGCCGGCCUGAGAGGGUGACCGGCCACAUUGGGACUGAGAUACGGCCCAGACUCCUACGGGAGGCAGCAGUGGGGAAUAUUGCACAAUGGGCGGAAGCCUGAUGCAGCAACGCCGCGUGCGGGAUGACGGCCUGCGGGUUGUGAACCGCUUUCGCCUGUGACGAAGCGUGAGUGACGGUAAUGGGUAAAGAAGCACCGGCUAACUACGUG